rfam:Pelecanus crispus contig91245, whole genome shotgun sequence.
AUAGGGUUAGCUCAGUUGGUUAGAGCAUGGUGCUAAUAACGCCAAGGUCACAGGUUCAAUCCCUGCUUACUGCA